UACGUAGGGUGCAAGCGUUAAUCGGAAUUACUGGGCGUAAAGCGUGCGCAGGCGGCUUUGCAAGACAGAUGUGAAAUCCCCGGGCUCAACCUGGGAACUGCAUUUGUGACUGCACAGCUUGAGUGCGGCAGAGGGGGAUGGAAUUCCGCGUGUAGCAGUGAAAUGCGUAGAUAUGCGGAGGAACACCGAUGGCGAAGGCAAUCCCCUGGGCCUGCACUGACGCUCAUGCACGAAAGCGUGGGGAGCAAACAGG
rnacentral:rRNA from 1 species